rnacentral:tRNA from 2 species
GCCGACGUAGCUCAGCCGGUAGAGCGCGUCCUUGGUAAGGACGAGGUCACGGGUUCAAGUCCCGUCGUCGGCUCCA